rnacentral:rRNA from 1 species
GACGAACGCUGGCGGCGUGCUUAACACAUGCAAGUCGAACGGUGAAAGCGGAGCUUGCUCCGCUGGAUCAGUGGCGAACGGGUGAGUAACACGUGGGCAACCUGCCCCUCACUUCGGGAUAACUCCGGGAAACCGGGGCUAAUACCGGAUAUGACCUCCUUGGGCAUCCUUGGAGGUGGAAAGUUUUUCGGUGAGGGAUGGGCCCGCGGCCUAUCAGCUUGUUGGUGGGGUAGUGGCUCACCAAGGCGACGACGGGUAGCCGGCCUGAGAGGGCGACCGGCCAAACUGGGACUGAGACACGGCCCAGACUCCUGCGGGAGGCAGCAGUGGGGAAUAUUGCGCAAUGGGCGAAAGCCUGACGCAGCAACGCCGCGUGCGGGAUGACGGCCUUCGGGUUGUAAACCGCUUUCAGCAGGGAAGAAGCCGCAAGGUGACGGUACCUGCAGAAGAAGCACCGGCUAACUACGUGCCAGCAGCCGCCGUAA